CGUCCUUCCUGCCCCCUGCAGGCCGUGACUCAGACGCCCCUCUCCCAAGACAGAUGCCUUCACCCACAGCGCUCUCUCACUAAGAUGAUUUGUGCAGCAAUUUUUGCCUUCUGAGAAAAUGCGAGAGGGAGAAAGAGGAGGUGAAAAUGGCAACGUUCGGUAAUUAAUUUGGAAUGGAGAGGCAGAGCUCCAUCCGGCGGUAAUUGGAUUUUAACCCCUUGGGAGUUUUUAAAUGCAGAUACUAAUGUUGGAACUAUCUUUCCUUGUAGUGUGUCUCCCCCUCAGAUCCGAGGACGGUUGAAAUCCAGGGAGCAAGGUUUCUAAGUCGAGGGAGCUUAUCAAAGCGAGCGGGCGGUGGGUGACUCGGGAGCGAUGGGUCCUGUGGGUGGGCACCACUGAGGUGCAGCACCCCGGGUCAUUCAGAGCUGCCCAGGGGCCACUAUGGGACUGGGCUCUCUUGUUCCAUAUUCCUGUUGGGCUCAUAAAAUAGUCGUGUCUUUUUGAGUUUUCUGGAAGCAUGGGGAAAAUGGGCGUUGCUCUCUUCCACCAUGCCCAUCUGAUGGCUGAGCCCCCGGGAGGGUGGGACUGGGCGUCCAGCCUCUGGCAGUUUCAAGUUGGUGUGGCCCUCCUGGAGCUCCUGUCUCCAGGUGCAGGACCUGGCCUUCCAGUGUUUCCUCUUCCAGCAGAUCUGCCCAGAAUGUUUCCAUCCAGAACAUUCUCUGUGGCCUCUGGACCUCCAUCGGCUUGCAGCUGGGACAACUUUGUUUAAAAUCCUGUGGUUCUCUUCCUGCGUUUGGUGGAUGAGUCACCUCCAGUAACUUGCACUAGCCAUUUUCCCUGCACGCUGGUCCUUUCCUGUUCUUCCCUGUCCUCGCUCUGGGUUCUGGGAGCUGUCUCCUGCCCCCCACAUCUCCCAGACUUUGUUGCCACCGGGGAUGAACAGGUGGGAGAUCAGAGGGAAGGAAGAGAGGGGCCAGGGCGCUUCUCCCUCCCAGCCCCCCAACUCCUUAGAAGACUCAUUUAGCCUCCCCUCUUGCACAGGAGGAGAGAGAUUGUGUAACUUUAGCGAUUUCCUGUUUAUGACCCUCUGGAAGAAGGGAAAGCUAACCGUGAGCCAAUAAUUUGGGCACAUCUGCCAUGAUGUCAUGGUGUUGGCAGUGACCAGAGCUCAGGACACCUCCGCGGGUGCUCCAAGAAAGUUCCGGACCCCUGUAGGUUUCCCAUAGAGCUCCUAACUGCCGACACCUGGACUUGGAAGCCCUCCUGACCCUUCAGUGUCGUAGAUGUCGGGGGGCUAGAGAUUUUCAGUGACGGGCCCUGCAGCUUUGGAGACAGGCAUGGACCACACCUGCUGAUUUUCUUGCUGAUACGGUGGCCUAGGAAACCGCUGCGCUGCCGGGCAGGAUUACUGUGGUACCCGGAUGACACAUGACUGUAACAAGGUGUGUGACCGAGACCUGUGGUGAAAAGCAGUCUGAGUGAACACCUGUCAGGAGGCCCCGAACAGACUCCGUGGAGAUGGGAACCCAGCUACAUUAAGUCGGUGGCCUGCGGGUCUCACGUAUGUUCGCUCCCUGCACACACAGAGCUUUUUUGUGUCGCUGUGGUACAGGGAGAGAGAGGGAAAUAUUUGUUUCACAGGCAAGGCACAGUUUCAUCAUUAACGUUCGGCGUGGCCUUCAAGGGGCUCUUGUAGGUUAGAAGCAUCAUCCUGCCACCUCUCAGGAGUCCAAUGGGCCCCAAUCUGCAGAGGACACAUGUGCCCUCUCUACCCUCCCCGUUGAAGGACAGAGAAGGGCAGGUGGUUCCUGGCCAGGCUGUUCGUGGUGAUGGGCUGGUCACCCUCUGCCCCUCAGGCUUGGCCCCACACCCGUCCGGAGAAGUGUCCCAUCUCUAGGGGCCCCCUUUACUCUAGAGCUGAAUUAAUACAAAAUUGAAGAGAGUUUAGAAAACAGAAAAAUAAACAAACAAAAGUCAAAAUCA
ensembl:lncRNA